rnacentral:sRNA from 1 species
GCUUUACUUUAGAUUCUUCUAGGGUUUCUAGAUUGUAUACCCUAGAUAAGCAUCCUAUAAAGUAAACACAAGUACUUGCAGAGACUUUAGAUUAGAGGGCUAGCGACUGCAGAAGAAGAGUAACACGUCAUCUCUGUGCUUCUUUGUCUACAAUUUUGGAAAAAGUGAUGACGCCAUUGCUCUUUCCCAAAUGUAGACAAAGCAAUACCGUGAUGAUGUCGUGGAGAUUUUGUUGAGAUGCUACGAGCGUGUUAAUGUUUCAUGUUUGUUGUUUGAUUUUACUGACUGCUGAUUUCUUUUUUUCUUGGAUCUCGCUCAAAACUAGAUCCUCACUACAGAGCAUAACUGUUGAUUUUUCUUAUUCCAGAUCUUGCUCUGAACAAGGGCAUCUAAAGUCACAGAUGCGUGUGAUUAUUGUUCUAGACUUGCAGACUUCCUUCUUUUUUUUUUUUUUGCAAAUCCAGAUUUGUUUUCUGAAUGGUGAAUUCGUGGUCCAGUAAGGUUUUGAUACCUUUCAAAGAGAUAAACUUAACAGAACAAAAUUUUGUUAAAUAU